UACCUGCAGCUCGAGUGGUAACCGCUAUUAUUGGGCCUAAAGCGUCCGUAGCCGGUUUGGUAAAUAUCUGGGUAAAUCGUGAGGCUUAACUUCACGAAUUUCGGAUAGACUGCCAGACUUGGGAUCGGGGGAGGUCAGAGGUACUCCAGGGGUAGCGGUGAAAUGUUGUAAUCCUUGGAGGACCACCGGUAGCGAAGGCGUCUGACUAGAACGAGUCCGACGGUGAGGGACGAAGCCCUGGGGCGCAAACCGGAUUAGAUACCCGGGUAGUCCAGGGUGUAAACAAUGUGGGCUUUGUAUUGGAGGUCCCACGUGGGCGUCCAGUGCAGAAGAGAAGUUGUUAAGCCCACCGCCUGGAAGUACGGUCGCAAGGCUGAAACUUAAAGGAAUUGGCGGGGGAGCACAGCAACGGGAGGAGCGUGCGGUUU
rnacentral:rRNA from 1 species